rnacentral:rRNA from 1 species
CUACGGGCGGCUGCAGUGAGGAAUAUUGCACAAUGGGGGAAACCCUGAUGCAGCAACGCCGCGUGGAGGAUGACGCAUUUCGGUGUGUAAACUCCUUUUAUGAGUCAAGAAAAUGACGGUAGCUCAUGAAUAAGCACCGGCUAACUCCGUGCCAGCAGCCGCGGUAAUACGGAGGGUGCAAGCGUUACUCGGAAUCACUGGGCGUAAAGGACGCGUAGGCGGGCUUGUAAGUCAGGUGUGAAAUCCUACAGCUUAACUGUAGAACUGCACUUGAAACUACGAGCCUAGAGUAUGGGAGGGGCAGAUGGAAUUAGUGGUGUAGGGGUAAAAUCCGUAGAUAUCACUAGGAAUACCGAAAGCGAAGGCGAUCUGCUGGAACAUUACUGACGCUAAGGCGUGAAAGCGUGGGGAGCAAACGGGAUUAGAUACCCCUGUAGUC